UACGUAGGGGCAAGCGUUGUCCGGAAUUAUUGGGCGUAAAGAGCGUGUAGGCGGUCCGGUAAGUCGGCUGUGAAAGUCCAGGGCUCAACCCUGGGAUGCCGGUCGAUACUGCCGGACUAGAGUUCGGAAGAGGCGAGUGGAAUUCCCGGUGUAGCGGUGAAAUGCGCAGAUAUCGGGAGGAACACCUAUGGCGAAGGCAGCUCGCUGGGACGUUACUGACGCUGAGACGCGAAAGCGUGGGGAGCAAACAGG
rnacentral:rRNA from 1 species